AUGGCCAAGGCUGGUAGCAAAAUGGCACUAAUUCUUAACGUGAUUCUAGUGCUCUCUCUUGUUCUAAUGAUUUCCAUAGCUGAGAGUAGACAAGUUGGCAGUAACAGUAAGAAUUAUUAUCUUAACUUAAUUCCUUAUUUCCCUUGAAAUGCUUUCUUUUUAGUUUCACAUAAAUAUAUAUAUGAAGAAAAAAAAAUUUAGUUUUUCAUAUCUAAUACAUGCAUUCAUUUUUGCAGUUGGAUUUGGAGGGAAAACAGUUGGAUUUGGAGGGAAAAAACCUGCCGCAGUUUGCGCUGCAGUUUAUGGUGCAGAGGAGGGUGAUACGUGUACUUCUGUUAGCGAGAUGUUCAAUUUGAGUUUUGAUUUCUUCCUUUCUAUCAACCCUAAUAUCAACUGCGACAACUUCUUUGUGGGUCAAUGGCUUUGUACUGCAGGGAGUGCCGACUGA
rnacentral:lncRNA from 1 species